UUCCGGUUGAUCCUGCCGGACCUGACUGCUAUCGGAUUGAUACUAAGCCAUGCGAGUCUUUGUAGUAAUACAAGGCAGACGGCUCAGUAACACGUAGUCAACCUACCCUAUGGACAAGAAUAAUCUCGGGAAACUGGGCAUAAUUCUUGAUAGAUCAUAAUGCCUGGAAUGGUUUAUGGUUAAAAUGAUUCGUCGCCAUAGGAUGGGACUGCGGCCUAUCAGCUUGUUGGUGAGGUAAUGGCCCACCAAGGCGAUUACAGGUACGGGCUCUGAGAGGAGAAGCCCGGAGAUGGGUACUGAGACACGGACCCAGGCCCUAUGGGGCGCAGCAGGCGAGAAAACUUUGCAAUGUGCGAAAGCACGACAAGGUUAAUCCGAGUGAUUUCUGCUAAAGAAAUCUUUUGCCAGUCAUAAAACCACUGGUGAAUAAGGGGUGGGCAAGUUCUGGUGUCAGCCGCCGCGGUAAAACCAGCACCUCAAGUGGUCAGGAUGAUUAUUGGGCCUAAAGCAUCCGUAGCCGGCUUUGUUAGUUUUCGGUUAAAUCCAUGUGCUCAACGCAUGGGCUGCCGAAAAUACUGCAUAGCUAGGGAGUGGGAGAGGUAGACGGUACUCAGUAGGAAGGGGUAAAAUCCUUUGAUCUAUUGAUGACCACCUGUGGCGAAGGCGGUCUACCAGAACACGUUCGACGGUGAGGGAUGAAAGCUGGGGGAGCAAACCGGAUUAGAUACCCGGGUAGUCCCAGCUGUAAACGAUGCAGACUCGAUGAUGCAUUGGCAUAAUAGCCAGUGCAGUGUCGCAGGGAAGCCGUUAAGUCUGCCGCCUGGGAAGUACGUACGCAAGUAUGAAACUUAAAGGAAUUGGCGGGGGAGCACCACAAGGGGUGAAGCCUGCGGUUCAAUUGGAGUCAACGCCGGGA
rnacentral:rRNA from 1 species